rnacentral:sRNA from 1 species
UUGACAACCCUGAAAAGUGAAUUCUGAGCAUCUCCAGAACAGGUACAGCACAGUCAGAAAUGACACUUUUUUUUCUCACAUUGCUGCAACUAUAAGUUUCAGCUGAUGUUGAAACAGAGUACUUCUAGGAGCAAAAGAACAGUUUAAUCUCCAUGUUCAUUCAGUUUUUGGCCUCU